UUGUGUGUUGCAUGGUUCUAGAUUUUUAUUAAACGGCUCAAACGGGGUCCAACAGGUCAGUUUUAUUCAUAGCUACACAUUGAUAUUCUUGAUUUUUCCACCAUUUAGAUAAAUAUGUCACCAACACUGUUGCUUUAUUUCAUCAUAUUAAUCUUUAGUGAUGUGCAUUUGGUACCGGGUACCGGUACCGAAUUUCCCGUACCGAAUUGGUACCCAUUUUUUGUCGUUUUCGGUACCGGUACCGGUUCGAUACGAUACGGGUAGUUUAUCCGAUUUUGCCUUCAAAUACCGGUACCGUAGCGUACCGUACUGCACAUUUUUGGAGCGAAUUUCGGUACCGGUAUUUUCGGUACCGGUACCUAAUUGAUCUUACGUAAAAUUGUUAGUAAGUUUUGGUGAAGAAAAUUUGCAAGAACUUCUGCACAUGAUUAUUGACUUCUGCACAUGAUUUUCUUUAGACAAACCAUACCAUGGAAGAAACUAUAAGCAAUUCAACUCUAAUUGGCCAAAAGGGCAGCUCUGAUGGAAUGAUGGAUAUCGACACUCGCUAUAGCUUACGACAUAGAAACAAACUCUAUUAAACUCUCAAGGAAAUACUUGAAAACACCAUUUACAAUCGCUUUGGUUAGUUUUGAAACUAUUGAAACAUGUUUUGUCUAUAAAACCCAUCAUUUGAUGUUUUCCGAUUUGUGUGAUAUCUAAUGUGUUUUUGUGUUUAUGCAUCUAAGGUUGGUGACCAAGAUGAAAAGCUGGCAGAAGGUAUCAAGCUUUAUGCUAUACCAACCACCUCAACUACAAAGCGGUCAAUACUUUUAAAAUUUGAUUUUAAAAGGAAUAGUGUCUGUGCAUAGAAUUUGCAUCAGGGUGGAAGCUUAGGGUCUUUUUCCCUGGACAUAAGUAGGCUGUUGCAGCUUUGUGAUGAAGACGAUGAUGGUGUAACCAGCGGGUAAGCUGCCCCAAAACCCGACCCAGAUGCUCACAACAUUAGCCCAAAUUCUAUUGUGAACAACACGGUUAAUAACUUACCGAAGCAUUUGUAGGGAGUGUUACCAGAACUUUGGGUAUUCCAAAUACCAUCUUUUCUUAACUGGAAGUAAAGAUGGGGAUGUAAAGCUUUGGGAUGAUAAAAGGGCAAAAUUGGUAUCAUUGGCCAAAAAUACAUGAUAGACAACCUUCAUUCAACCGCUCAAGAGGAUUUAGAGUGGUCAGGGUAUACCAUUUUUACCCUUUUAGUUUAAUUUUUUGUUUAGUAGAUAAUAACAUGAGGUUUACACUUGAAUUUUAAAUUAAAGAUUGAAACACUGUGAUAGAUAUUUAGGUUGUUUCAAAUUG